rnacentral:rRNA from 1 species
GAUGAACGCUGGCGGCGUGCCUAAUACAUGCAAGUCGAGCGAACGGACGAGAAGCUUGCUUCUCUGAUGUUAGCGGCGGACGGGUGAGUAACACGUGGAUAACCUACCUAUAAGACUGGGAUAACUUCGGGAAACCGGAGCUAAUACCGGAUAAUAUUUUGAACCGCAUGGUUCAAAAGUGAAAGACGGUCUUGCUGUCACUUAUAGAUGGAUCCGCGCUGCAUUAGCUAGUUGGUAAGGUAACGGCUACCCAAGGCAACGAUGCAUAGCCGACCGGAGAGGGUGAUCGCCCACACGGGAACGAAGACACGGUCCAGACUCCUAGGGGAGGCAGCAGUGGGGAAUCUGCCGCAAUGGGCGAAAGCCUGACGAAGCAACGCGGGGUGAGUAAUGAAGGUCUGCGGUUCGUAAAACGCUGUUAUGAGGGAAGAACAUAUGUGUAUGUAACUGUGCACAUCUGAACGGAACCAAAGCAGAAAGCCCCGGCUAAUUACGG